UAAUUGAAGAGUUUGAUCAUGGCUCAGAUUGAACGCUGGCGGCAGGCCUAACACAUGCAAGUCGAGCGGCAGCACAGAGGAACUUGUUCCUUGGGUGGCGAGCGGCGGACGGGUGAGUAAUGCCUGGGAAAUUGCCCGGUAGAGGGGGGAUAACCAUUGGAAACGAUGGCUAAUACCGCAUAACCUCGCAAGAGCAAAGCAGGGGACCUUC
rnacentral:rRNA from 1 species